CUGUGAGAAAAAUGAGAAGAGGUUUACCUGCAUCAACCCCAAGAAGAGCAAUAUCUUGGAGUUUCCUGCUUUGAAGGACUACAUAGCUAUGAUUACCAUGUCUGUGAUUACAAGACCAUCAGUGAGACAGGUGAUCAUGUGAACUCCAGGGCCACCCUUCGGAUGGCCUUGUCAAUGGAGGAUGAAAUAAAGCUGUGGCUGAAAGCUCACACAGUCAGCUGGAGGGUGGACCGAACAUAUCCAAGAAAGGGCCAGAAAGUUCUUUACAAGGUGGACUUCAGAUGCCAGCAUAAGACGAGACCUCGGGGUGUUGAACAAGUGCCAGGCAGAAGCAAGAACACAAACUGCCCUGCUAAGAUGACUGUGACACUCCUUUCUUAAGAGACACUAGUUGAUGGGUAGAAUUUAAGAAGUAGGGUAAAAUGACAUGCUGUUGCACACUUUUACAGUAGGUGGCGGUAUGCAGCUUAAAUUGUACUUAGGACUUUUGAGCUUGGUAUGCUGAUGUAUUGUCAUGUUGUUAUUUUGUCUUGAUUGUUGUUUGUCUGCCUGUGCAAUAGUUGUCUUAUGUGUUGUUGUGUUUUUACUUCUGUAUUAGUUGUUGUUGUUUGUUUGCC